rnacentral:rRNA from 1 species
UACGUAGGCGGAAAAUUAAGUCAGUAGUGAAAUCCUGCAGCUUAACUGUAGAACUGUUACUGAUACUGGUUUUCUUGAAUAUAGUUGAAGUAGGCGGAAUGUGUAAUGUAGCGGUGAAAUGCUUAGAUAUUACACAGAACACCGAUUGCGAAGGCAGCUUACUAAGCUAUGAUUGACGCUGAGGUACGAAAGCGUGGGGAGCGAACAGGAUUAGAUACCCUGGUAGUCC